GACGAACGCUGGCGGCGUGCCUAACACAUGCCAGUCGAACGCUGAAGGAGGACCUGGCUUCUCUGGAUGAGUCGCGAACGGGUGAGUAACGCGUAGGUAACCUGCCUGGUAGCGGGGGAUAACUAGUGGAAACGAUAGCUAAUACCGCAUAAUAGUAGAUGUUGCAUGACAUUUGCUUAAAAGGUGCAUUUGCAUCACUACCAGAUGGACCUGCGUUGUAUUAGCUAGGUGGGGGGGGAACGGCUCACCAAGGCGACGAUACAUAGCCGAGCUGGGAGGGUGGUCGACCAACCUGGGACUGGGACACGGCCCAGGAUCCUUCGGGAGGGAGCAGGAGGGGAACUUUGGCAAUGGGCGGAAGUCUGGACGAAGAACGCCGCGUGGGGGGAGGAGGGUUUCGGGUCGGAAAGGUCGGUUGUGAGGGGAGAACGGGUGUGAGGGUGGAAAGUUCACGCUGUGACGGUACCUUAACAGAAAGCGCCGGCUAACUACGUG
rnacentral:rRNA from 1 species